UACGUAGGGGGCUAGCGUUGUCCGGAAUCAUUGGGCGUAAAGAGCGUGUAGGCGGCUCGGUAAGUCCGCUGUGAAAGUCCAGGGCUCAACCCUGGAAUGCCAGUGGAAACUGUCGAGCUAGAGUCCGGAAGAGGCGAGUGGAAUUCCUGGUGUAGCGGUGAAAUGCGUAGAGAUCGGAAAGAACACCAACGGCGAAAGCACUCUGCUGGGCCGACACUGACACUGAGAGACGAAAGCUAGGGGAGCGAAUGGG
rnacentral:rRNA from 1 species